rnacentral:tRNA from 1 species
AGCCUCGUAGCUCAGCUGGUAGGACGUGCGCUGUACAAAAGCGCAGGAGGAGUCCAUGCGUGGGUUCGAGUCCUACUGAGGCCA